GGAAAGAAGGUCUUCAGUGCCCAGUUAAUGGAAAUUAAUGAAUUGAUCCCAGCUGUAGGAUCAGUUAAUACCUUUUUAGACAUCAGAGAAAGCUGAGAGAAAUUCCUUUUAAAUACUCAAUCAGUUAGGAAUCUUCAGUCAAAGCUUGAAUCUGUAUAGAUGUUAAUGCUAACUAAUACAAGGAACCAAAGAAAAGCAACGUGGUCAUCUGGAGGUAGUGAUCCACAGGUGUCCUCAGCCUGGCAGGACCUGGUUUCUGCAUGUUUGCUGAUCUGGGGCCAUGCUAUCAAACAACUCUUGGGACCAGCAACCUCGGGACAGCUGCAGGGCUGACAGAAUGUCCCCCCCCCACCGUUGCUCUGACAUCGCAAGCCCUGCUGCCACUGAGCACUCAGGGUUAUGGUCCCCUGCUGCCCCAGUGCUGACACCUCAAUGAUGCCUCGUGGGAACGGCUGAGAGCUGGUUCUGCCACCAGCUAAGAAACACAGCUUCCCAGGAUGAGUCAGGAUCAUCUUUAUAAAAUUUAUUCAAAGCUACCCUACAAGUGUUAGCUCCAGUCUGUCAUGAGCAUGCCAUAUCCAAUAAAUAAUGAUAGAGCUUCCCUCCA
rnacentral:lncRNA from 1 species